rnacentral:tRNA from 1 species
GGGGGUGGCCGAGUGGCUUAAGGCGUCCGACUGAAAAUCGGAUAGGGAUAUCCCUCACGGGUUCGAAUCCCGUCCCCUCCG